rnacentral:rRNA from 1 species
CCUACGGGUGACAGCAGUGAGGAAUAUUGGUCAAUGGGCGUAAGCCUGAACCAGCCAAGUCGCGUGAGGGAUGAAGGUUCUAUGGAUCGUAAACCUCUUUUAUAAGGGAAUAAAGUGCGGGACGUGUCCCGAUUUGUAUGUACCUUAUGAAUAAGGAUCGGCUAACUCCGUGCCAGCAGCCGCGGUAAUACGGAGGAUCCGAGCGUUAUCCGGAUUUAUUGGGUUUAAAGGGUGCGUAGGCGGCCUUUUAAGUCAGCGGUGAAAGUCUGUGGCUCAACCAUAGAAUUGCCGUUGAAACUGGGCGGCUUUAGUAUGUUUGAGCCAGGCGGCCUGCGUGUUGUAGCGGU